rnacentral:rRNA from 1 species
AGUUUGAUCAUGGCUCAGAUUGAACGCUGGCGGCAUGCCUUACACAUGCAAGUCGAACGGUAACAGGUCUUCGGAUGCUGACGAGUGGCGAACGGGUGAGUAAUACAUCGGAACGUGCCCGAUCGUGGGGGAUAACGAGGCGAAAGCUUUGCUAAUACCGCAUACGAUCUACGGAUGAAAGCGGGGGAUCUUCGGACCUCGCGCGGACGGAGCGGCCGAUGGCAGAUUAGGUAGUUGGUGGGAUAAAAGCUUACCAAGCCGACGAUCUGUAGCUGGUCUGAGAGGAUGAUCAGCCACACUGGGACUGAGACACGGCCCAGACUCCUACGGGAGGCAGCAGUGGGGAAUUUUGGACAAUGGGCGAAAGCCUGAUCCAGCCAUGCCGCGUGCAGGAUGAAGGCCUUCGGGUUGUAAACUGCUUUUGUACGGAACGAAAAGCCUCUUUCUAAUAAAGAGGGGUCAUGACGGUACCGUAAGAAUAAGCACCGGCUAACUACGUGCCAGCAGCCGCGGUAAUACGUAGGGUGCAAGCGUUAAUCGGAAUUACUGGGCGUAAAGCGUGCGCAGGCGGUUCUGUAAGACAGAGGUGAAAUCCCCGGGCUCAACCUGGGAACUGCCUUUGUGACUGCAAGGCUGGAGUGCGGCAGAGGGGGAUGGAAUUCCGCGUGUAGCAGUGAAAUGCGUAGAUAUGCGGAGGAACACCGAUGGCGAAGGCAAUCCCCUGGGCCUGCACUGACGCUCAUGCACGAAAGCGUGGGGAGCAAACAGGAUUAGAUACCCCGGUAGU